GCAUAUCAAUAAGCGGAGGAAAAGAAACCAACCGGGAUUGCCUCAGUAACGGCGAGUGAAGCGGCAAGAGCUCAAAUUUGAAAGCUGGCCCCUUCGGGGUCCGCGUUGUAAUUUGCAGAGGAUGCUUCGGGUGCGGCCCCUGUCUAAGUGCCCUGGAACGGGCCGUCAGAGAGGGUGAGAAUCCCGUCUUGGGCAGGGUGCCCGUGCCCGUGUGAAGCUCCUUCGACGAGUCGAGUUGUUUGGGAAUGCAGCUCUAAAUGGGUGGUAAAUUUCAUCUAAAGCUAAAUACCGGCCGGAGACCGAUAGCGCACAAGUAGAGUGAUCGAAAGAUGAAAAGCACUUUGAAAAGAGAGUUAAACAGCACGUGAAAUUGUUGAAAGGGAAGCGCUUGCGACCAGACUCGGCCCCGGGGUUCAGCCAGCACUCGUGCUGGUGUACUUCCCCGGGGGCGGGCCAGCGUCGGUUUGGGCGGCCGGUCAAAGGCCCCAGGAAUGUAUCGCCCUCCGGGGUUGUCUUAUAGCCUGGGGUGCAAUGCGGCCAGCCCGGACCGAGGAACGCGCUUCGGCACGGACGCUGGCGUAAUGGUCGCAAACGACCCGUCUUGAAACACGGACCAAGGAGUCUAACAUCUACGCGAGUGUUCGGGUGUCAAACCCGUACGCGCAGUGAAAGCGAACGGAGGUGGGAGCCCCCCCGGGGCGCACCAUCGACCGAUCCUGAUGUCUUCGGAUGGAUUUGAGUAAGAGCGUAGCUGUGGGGACCCGAAAGAUGGUGAACUAUGCCUGAAUAGGGCGAAGCCAGAGGAAACUCUGGUGGAGGCUCGCAGCGGUUCUGACGUGCAAAUCGAUCGUCAAAUUUGGGUAUAGGGGCGAAAGACUAAUCGAACCAUCUGGUAGCUGGUUCCUGCCG
rnacentral:rRNA from 1 species